AUGGCACGCGUCCUCCCUCUGGAUAUCGAGCCCGGGGAGGCGCACAGAGCUGGUGAGACGGUUGCUAGCACGCCAAGCUCUUCAGCUGUGGUGUCAUGCAAUAGAAUUGAGCAUUCUGAGCAAAACAUAAAGGACGACGAAUACGCGAUGCUGAUGACGCCAGCUCAACAUGCAACGGCUGACAACAACACAGAAAUUUUACCUCAGCAACCCAAGUCAAGUCACUUCAGUUGGUGGAUGACAGCUCUGCUUGUCUGCUUCCUUCUUAUAAUGGCAACUUAUAUCUUUGUGAAAUUUGGAGCCCCCUUUGCCUUUGAGAAGAUUCUUUUUCCAAUCAUGAAAUGGGAAGCAAGUGCCUUUGGCCGUCCAGUAUUGGCUCUUGUCCUCGUCGCAUCUUUGGCUCUCUUCCCACUCAUUUUAGUCCCCUCUGGACCUUCUAUGUGGUUAGCAGGAAUGAUCUUCGGUUAUGGCUGGGGUUUCGUGAUUAUUAUUGUUGGGACUACUCUUGGCAUGGUUGGGGCAUAUUGGAUCGGCUCAUUGUUCCGCGAGCGACUACAUGCAUGGUUAAAGAGAUGGCCUCAGCAGAUAGCUCUAAUAAAGCUUGCUGGCGAAGGGAGUUGGUUCCACCAGUUUCGAGUGGUUGCACUAUUCAGAGUCUCACCGUUUCCAUACUCGAUUUUUAACUAUGCCGUGGCUGUGACAGAAAUCAAAUUCAGCCCUUAUGUAUGUGGUUCAGUUGCCGGAAUGACACCUGAGGCAUUCAUCUAUAUCUAUAGCGGGCGGUUGAUACGUACGUUGGCCGAUGUGAAGUAUGGCAAGCAUAAGUUGACUACAGUGGAGAUAGUCUACAGCAUAAUCUCGUUCGUCGCUGCCGCUGCCCUCACGGCCGCCUUCACAGUUUACGCCAAGAAGUCGCUAAACAACAUAAAAGGCCCAGAUGAUAUCUCAGAGGACCACCAACCUGCUGCUGGCUCUGCUGGGGUGACUGCACUAAAAAAUGGCCAUCAGGACGUGCAUAUCCUGUAG
rnacentral:rRNA from 1 species